rnacentral:rRNA from 1 species
AAGUCGAACGAAGCGCUUGAGAUUGAUUCUUCGGAAGAUUUCUCUUGUGACUUAGUGGCGGACGGGUGAGUAACGCGUGGGUAACCUGCCUCACACAGGGGGAUAACAGUUGGAAACGACCGCUAAUACCGCAUAACCCGCUAGGGCCGCAUGGCCUGGACGGAAAAGAUUUAUCGGUGUGAGAUGGACCCGCGUUGGAUUAGCUAGUUGGCAGGGUAACGGCCUACCAAGGCGACGAUCCAUAGCCGGCCUGAGAGGGUGAACGGCCACAUUGGGACUGAGACACGGCCCAAACUCCUACGGGAGGCAGCAGUGGGGAAUAUUGCACAAUGGGGGAAACCCUGAUGCAGCGACGCCGCGUGAGUGAAGAAGUAUUUCGGUAUGUAAAGCUCUAUCAGCAGGGAAGAAAAUGACGGUACCUGACUAAGAAGCCCCGGCUAACUACGUGCCAGCAGCCGCGGUAAUACGUAGGGGGCAAGCGUUAUCCGGAUUUACUGGGUGUAAAGGGAGCGUAGACGGUUAAGCAAGUCAGAAGUGAAAGGCUGGGGCUCAACCCCGGGACUGCUUUUGAAACUGUUUAACUAGAGUGCUGGAGAGGUAAGCGGAAUUCCUAGUGUAGCGGUGAAAUGCGUAGAUAUUAGGAGGAACACCAGUGGC